AUUGAACGCUGGCGGCAUGCUUUACACAUGCAAGUCGAACGGUAACAGGCCGCAAGGUGCUGACGAGUGGCGAACGGGUGAGUAAUGCAUCGGAACGUGCCCAGUCGUGGGGGAUAACGCAGCGAAAGCUGUGCUAAUACCGCAUACGAUCUGUGGAUGAAAGCGGGGGACCGUAAGGCCUCGCGCGAUUGGAGCGGCCGAUGUCAGAUUAGGUAGUUGGUGGGGUAAAGGCUCACCAAGCCGACGAUCUGUAGCUGGUCUGAGAGGACGACCAGCCACACUGGGACUGAGACACGGCCCAGACUCCUACGAGAGGCAGCAGUGGGGAAUUUUGGACAAUGGGCGCAAGCCUGAUCCAGCAAUGCCGCGUGCAGGAAGAAGGCCUUCGGGUUGUAAACUGCUUUUGUACGGAGCGAAAAGGCUCUCUCUAAUACAGGGGGCUCAUGACGGUACCGUAAGAAUAAGCACCGGCUAACUACGUGCCAGCCGCCGCGGUAACAC
rnacentral:rRNA from 1 species